ACCACCAGACAAUAAAUGUUGAAGAUGCUGAACCUGAGCAGUCUUCUGUGAGGUGACAUAUUUGUUUCUUAAAUCGCAGCGACUGAUCUCUCUGGCAUGUGGAAGAGGAGAAAAAAACUCAUACUCCAGUAGCAGCACCAUCGCAGCCCUGAGUUUUUUCUGACUAUUGGGGCAAAGCCACCUGGCGCUUGCUCUGAUGCUUCCUUCAGCACCACAUGUGGCCAACAGCAGUGCGUACAGAGAUGGUGGGGGCUCCUCUGUGCACCAGGACUGGAGGUGUUCUGCCUCGAGAUUCACAAGCUGCUGGCUCCAGGAGUGAAGGCAGUGAAUGUAUUCCUGCGGCAGAAUCUACAUCAGAACUGUAACUUGAAAAUCCAGCUGUUGCCUCCAGCAGCCGGGAGCACCUGCAGCGCCCAGAGGAAGGUGACAGUCCUGUCCCCAGCAGGCAGUGCCAGAAGCUGCCCGUCGCAGAGCUCACUGCCCGGUGUGGUAAACUGCUUCAGGACAGAGAGGGUACAUCUUCCUCCGGUAAAGUCCCCCAGGGACUGCACCAAAUACAUUUGAACACACCCCACCCAUGGAACUUGUGGAGUGCACAUAUAUUUUGACAUAACCAUUGAAAAUGUGCCUAAAGCUUAUAAAAUAAUUGUAAGUAGCAAGUUUUUCAAAUUUCUCUGUAGUCUUGCAGUGCUGGUUAUAGAAUCAAGUUUAUUUGUAAUGUUGCUGCCUUCUUCCAUACUUCAUUUUUCAUGUUCAAAUAUCUGUCUACCUUUGACAGGAAAAUGAAUAAUUUAUCACAGGAUGCUUGCUAUUCAAGUAAAAGCAAAAGAAGGAAAUAGAGAGUUUACACAACUUGAAUCAAGAGUGCUGUGGUAAACAUUUACACUUACAACCCCACAGAUUGGCCUUAUACAACCUUUAUUUUACUCUACAAGAGCAAACUCAGUGGAACAGCUUCUAUUUUUGCUGAAAGUUAAGCUGUAAAAGCAGCAGCAGCAGGUUCUCAGAAAGGCGGAGUGCUGAUCCAGCGCCCCUUAAUAGGGCUCAGCUUUGGAAAGCACCGAGAGUCACUGCAAACCAAUGUUGCAGAAGGCCACAAACAUCACAAGGAUCAGUGCUUUGAACAUCCAGCUUCACUACAGGCAAUGAGGGAGCC